UUAUCAAAUCCUCACCCCCAUAAUCCUAACCCCUCAAAACCCCGACUCCUCUUUUUUUCCUCUCUCACGUUCGUGUCGAUGUUCCUACUCAAAAUCUCAAUCUCUAUUUCGAUCUCUCUCCAUCGCAGGUAGUCUCUUCCUCCUCUCCUCUCCCCCCCUCCUACCGUCGGCCACCAUCAUCUCGUCUCUCUCUCUCUGAACCUAGGGUUAGGGUUUCGUAGACUUCGAAGAAUCGACGGAUGGAGAUUCUCUCGAGAUCCAGUGAAGAAGAUGAGGACGAGUACUUGAGACGCGAGGGUUCCUCUCAAAGAGGGGAUUUUAUAGUGAGAUUUGAUGGGAAGAAUGCGGAGCAGAAGCAGCAGUUGCUGAUGCCGAGAUCGAAGCAUUCUACAAUGGAGCAACGGCGGAGGAGCAAAAUUAAUGACAGGACUCAAUAAAUUCUUCGAGACAUGAAGUUGGACACAAUGGAGAGAAAAGAGGAGAAGACUUGAAGGAUAAAUAGAGGAUUCUACAUAUGGUUUCUUUUAAUAGUUUAUGUUGUAGUAAUUUGGCUUGUUGUAGCAAAUCAUGGUUACUUGUUGUAGCAAAUCAUGGGUAUCAACUAUCUAUAGCAAGUU